CCUGAGCACUCUGGGGGUGGUGAA
rnacentral:misc_RNA from 1 species